rnacentral:rRNA from 1 species
CCUACGGGUGGCAGCAGUGGGGAAUAUUGCACAAUGGGCGGAACUCUGAUGCAGCGACGCCGCGUGAAGGAAGAAGGAUCUCGGUAUGUAAACUUCUAUCAGCAGGGAAGAAAAUGACGGUACCUGACUAAGAAGCCCCGUCUAACUACGUGCCAGCAGCCGCGGUAAUACGUAGGGGGCAAGCGUUAUCCGGAUUUACUGGGUGUAAAGGGAGCGUAGGCGGCAGGGCAAGUCAGAAGUGAAAGCCCAAGGCUCAACCGUGGGACUGCUUUUGAAACUGUACAGCUAGAGUACAGGAGAGGUAAGUGGAAUUCGUGGUGUAGCGGUGAAAUGCGUAGAUAUUAGGAAGAACACCAGUGGCGAAGGCAGCUUACUGGACUGUAAAUGACGCUGAGGCUCGAAAGCGUGGGGAGCAAACAGGAUUAGAUACCCGUGUAGUC